rnacentral:rRNA from 1 species
UACGUAGGGUCCGAGCGUUGUCCGGAAUUACUGGGCGUAAAGAGCUCGUAGGUGGUUUGUCGCGUUGUUCGUGAAAACUCACAGCUCAACUGUGGGCGUGCGGGCGAUACGGGCAGACUAGAGUACUGCAGGGGAGACUGGAAUUCCUGGUGUAGCGGUGAAAUGCGCAGAUAUCAGGAGGAACACCGGUGGCGAAGGCGGGUCUCUGGGGCAGUAACUGACGCUGAGGAGCGAAAGCGUGGGGAGCGAACAG